rnacentral:lncRNA from 1 species
CUUGGCAUUCCAGCGAACCUUUCACUAUCGGGACACGACUUUGCUUCUUUCGUUUGACUUCACUGGCAUGACAACUCUUCUUGGUCGAACGUAUGUUGAAUGUUUUUGUGGACUGUGAGAAUAGUACAUCUUGUAUCCUACAAGUAGUGUCUCCAAAUCUUCCAAGCAAUUACCACUGCCCCUGACUCAAGAUCAUGUGUUGCAUAGUUGACUUCCUGCGUCUUAAGCUAUCUUGAGGUAUAGGCAGUGACCUUUCCUCUUGUAUAAGAACAAAACCAAUUCAUACUGAUUAUGAAGUCAGAACCUUGUCGUUGAUUAGAUGUCGGGAAGAUCUAAAAUAAAGUAUGAUUACUCAUGAAUUAAGGAAAAAGGAUAGGUACUUUUGUUCAAUCUGACUUUCUUGUCCCAAUCGACAAAAAGGGUACGUGUUGGGCUUCUAAGUUUAUUCGCAUGGCAGCAUGAUCACUCGUAGUCUUGGGUAGUCUCCAUCCUGAAGUUCAUAGUAGAACCCAUACCAGGUUCAUCAAUCACAGUCUCGGGUAUACGAGUCCUAUAUAAAUAAGCUUGAAACUGUGGGUCUUUAGAUUGAACUUGACGUACUGCACGAGUGGUACUUCGGGGCGGUUUGCUGAGUUUUUCUUCGGAAAGGAUGAGAAACAUGAGGUGCUCUAUGACGAGUACUUUGUUGUUCUGGAAUGACGGUUUUGCUAAAAAGACGAUUUCGGAGGAAGAGAUGUACGUAUGAAGCUGUUUUUGUGGGGAUAGAAUUGAAUCAAGUAGUAUGAUAAUGUCGGAAUCAUAAGGAAACUUAAAGACAUUAGGUUUAAACAUAAGAUGUUUACAGACAAAACACAACCGUGCAACCAUCAACAGAGUUACGGUACUUUAGACUUCUACAAGACUAUUGCUGUGAAUAAGGUAUACUUCGAAAGGCAAGUAUACGCAGCAGGAGCAUCCCUAUACCGACGGGAUCCUGCAAAAGAUAAGACUCUGGUUGCACUAGUUUUGGAUGGUUUAUAAGUCUGUUAUAACGACACGCCUAAGUUACAUUAACGAGGGUUUCGGAGUAGGCUCUCCUGAAGCUGUGAUCCUGAGAAUCUUCCCAUCUGCGCCAGAGUUCUUUGCUAUAGGGAAAUCCUUCUUGAAGUGCCCUAUUUCACCGCAUUGGUGGCAUGACUGGCUAUUACUUGCAUUGGUGACGGGAUUGCGGUGCUUAGCCAGUGUUAUGUGGACACGAGUGCCUUCCUCAUUACUCCACCUUGGAAAUUGCUUCCUAAAGCGUUCUAUCGGGGUUGCCACUGGUGGCUGUGGCAUGGCAAGUCUUUGGGAUCUCUUGCGCUCCCUUAGGGCUUUAUGAUAGCGUGUCUUCCUUUUGGUCUUUAGGCUUCGCAAUUCCAUGACUGUUGCCAUUUGUUGGUUUCCCGGUUUGGUACUACCAUCGGAACUCACGGUUCCUUUUUCAGCCUUGAUUGUGUUGCUUGAGUUGAUGUGUGUAAGGAAACUUGUCACAGCAGCUGCUACUGCAGCUAGUAAUGUAGCGGCGUCGAUAUGGAGGAUAGGGGUUUCGGUGCUCGGCUGAUUGUUUCUGGAUGACGACAUGAUUAUCCCUAUGAUGCAGUCCUAGUACAGAUUGGAAGUAUGUUUGCAGAAGUUUGACCUAUAUCCCUAUGAUGUAGUCCUAGUAUAGAUUGGAAGUAUGUUUGCGGAAGUUUGACCUACAUUCCUAUGAUGCUGUCCUAGUACUGAGUGGAAGUGUGUUUAUGAAGGGUUGACCUACAUCCCUAGGAUGUAGUCCUAGAAUGAGUGGAAGUAAGUUCACAGAAUGGUCUCAAGACGCUUGUCGUUCAAGCCGAGGUAUCGUUGGUUGGUGAAUAACAUGAUCCAACCAUUAAAAGAGACUUGGAAAUGUUUCCUGAGUUAAAUUACUAUGGUCAAAUGACUUGACUAAAGCAUGAUUCAGAUAGAUUCCAAUGAAAGUAUGAUAAGAGUACUUGAAUAAAGAAUGACACAGAAGUUAGCCGACUGUCAAUACCCUUGAUAUUUAUGACGUAAAAGUUUGGGAAAAUGACCUUGUAAAAGGCCUUACAUCAUAUCCAUAGGAGAUAGUUCUUGUCAUCAUAAAGAACUAACCAAAAGUACUUACAGUACAAGGUAGUCACAUAGAAAGUACUACACAGGACAUAGACAGGAACACGGUUCUUUAAAACAAAGAAGGAAGUAAGGUAUCUCUUACUGGCGACAGUCACCCCCAUGGUGAACCCUUAGUUCAAUUAGUUGACGUUCCAUAUCGAACGGGUAUCUCUCGUACACUCUCUGGCGUACUUGGAGCUCUAUGACUUUGGCUCGGGUGUUUGGCUAGUGCUUGCAGCAGGGUCUCAUGGUUUCUCUCUGAUCUCUCGUGAGCAUCUCCUAGAUGAAUGGUGCGGAGGGUAUGCAUUCUUGCAUCAACGACAACUUCGGCAUUCUAAUGUAGGGCUGUCCUGCCUUGAAUCUCAUUUCGGGCCACUCNNNNNNNNNNNNNNNNNNNNNNNNNNNNNNNNNNNNNNNNNNNNNNNNNNNNNNNNNNNNNNNNNNNNNNNNNNNNNNNNNNNNNNNNNNNNNNNNNNNNAUAAUUAUCGCGUGUUUUACUUGUAUUCCCCUCUUAAAAGCAUAUAAAAACAUUUAUAAAACAUUUAAAUGUGUGGAUUAUAGGGAUAUGAACUCACUUGAUUGAUUGAAGAAAGCGUGACGAAAACCGAACAGAACUUCUACUCGAGAAAGCGGAUCUCUCGAGAUUCUCGGGAAUCUCGGGAGCGUAAAACUUCAUUCCAUACUUGGAUAUGAAAAACGGGACUUUGGGAUGGCUCCGAGGGUUGAAACGCAGAGCUUCGGCGCGAGAAAGGAAGAAAAUUAGCAAAUAUGGCCGGCACCCUCGCAACCUUUAUAUAGGGGCUGAAAGACCUCGGUACGCGGGGCGUACGAGACGUCAUGGAUGACCGGAUCCUCGGUCGAAGCAUCGGAGCGACGUGGACGAACCGGAGCCUAGCAUCCGAGUACACGGGGCGUAUGAGGGUACGCUGGGCGUAACCUAGAUUUGUCCGAUGACUCCUUCGGAUAAUACCGGAUUUUAAUUAAAUUUAUAUUUUAAUUAAUUAGUAAACUUCAAAAAUUCAUAUCCUCCUCAUACGAACUCCGUUUUCGACGUUCUUUGUAUCCACGCGUAGGUGAGACUACGAUCUACAAAUUUUGUUUUGACUCCGUCGGCAAAUCUUGACUUUAUUUUUAAUAUUAUAUUAUAAUAGGUCGGGACAGGAAAAGUUCGUUAAAGUUCCAUAACUUCUUCAUCCGACGUCCGUUUUCGUCAGACUUUUUAUUGUUGCGCUAGUAUUGUUGAGCCCUUCGAUUCUCAUUUAGAUCGUGUCGGCUAAAAGUCUCUCGAUCUCUAUUUCGAGUUUUUAGCUGUCUACUGUUAUAUCUGUAACUUAGAAUAAUCACAACUUCCUCAUACGAAGUCAGAUUUGGAUGUUCUUUUUAUGCACCUUUACGGUUUAAUGAUAUCUAAAACUUUUAUUUAGAUACUUAAGGCUAAAAACUAUUGUAUUGAAAUUUCGCAUUUUACGUCUAUCAGUAUUGCCGGUUUUCGCCGAGAAUCUUUUGUUGGUUAUAACUUCUUCGUUAUAACUCGGAUUUUAGGGUUCUUUAUAGGUAUGAAAACCUUGAUACGAUUUCUACUACUUUAUUUAACCCAAAUAAGAUUUUAGGAAAGUUAAAUUUUGACCUAAAUUUGACUUGCGUUCGAUCAUAUUGGCUCAAAAUAUCGGGUUGUCACAUCAGCCCCCCUAUUAGUGGGAAUUUCGUCCCGAAAUUAGAGUUUAAACCGAACUGGUAAACAUGCUAUGGAUAGAAGUUUUAUUUGCUUCUCGUGUUCUUAAGUGAACUCGGUCCCUCGCUUGGCAUUCCAGCGAACCUUUCACUAUCGGGACACGACUUUGCUUCUUUCGUUUGACUUCACUGGCAUGACAACUCUUCUUGGUCGAACGUAUGUUGAAUGUUUUUGUGGACUUUGAGAAUAGUACAUCUUGUAUCCUACAAGUAGUGUCUCCAAAUCUUCCAAGCAAUUACCGCUGCCCCUGACUCAAGAUCAUGUGUUGCAUAGUUAACUUCCUGCAUCUUAAGCUGUCUUGAGGUAUAGGCAGUGACCUUUCCUCUUGUAUAAGAACAAAACCAAUU